GUGCCAGCAGCCGCGGUAAUACAGAGGGUGCAAGCGUUAAUCGGAAUUACUGGGCGUAAAGCGCGCGUAGGUGGUUCGUUAAGUUGGAUGUGAAAUCCCCGGGCUCAACCUGGGAACUGCAUUCAAAACUGACUGGCUAGAGUAUGGUAGAGGGUGGUGGAAUUUCCUGUGUAGCGGUGAAAUGCGUAGAUAUAGGAAGGAACACCAGUGGCGAAGGCGACCACCUGGACUGAUACUGACACUGAGGUGCGAAAGCGUGGGGAGCAAACAGGAUUAGAUACCCCAGUAGUCC
rnacentral:rRNA from 1 species